rnacentral:snRNA from 1 species
GGUUCCUUUGUUAUUAUUCGAUAAAAUUGAAACGGUAAAGAGAAGAUUAAUAUGGCUCUCGACAAAGAUAAUACACACAGAUCAAGAAAUGGUCCAAUUUUCC